AGAGAAGGCACAGGGAAGUCUGGAGAAGGAACAACAAGUUCAUCAAGUGGUAUCUUGCAAAAAUCUUUGCUGCUUCUUUCUGGCGGCAGUGGUGGCCCUUCGAACUCUUCUCUGAAUCUUUCUGGGUUUAUUGCAUAGGUAAUCUGGGAUAGGAACAUCAAAAUCGGGAGGGGGAAUGUCAAGUUUAUCAAAGUCUAUGGGCACAAGCCAAAUCUUUUUUGACCUUCUUCCUGGCCUUUCAUAUUCAAAGCUGUCUUCCACUUUUAUGAUAGACACAUCAUCAGGCAAACUAGAAGAAUCAUAGCAGUCGUCUCUCAUCUGUUCACACUCACUCCCAUCCAUAUACAUACUUUCAAGCUCAUCAUUUAUUCGCUGGGCACACUGCUGCAACCAUGCCUCCUCUUCUUGCACAUCAGGAAAGUAAAUUUCUGUGUACCUUCGAAUUAUCUGAAGUCGAUGAGGAUCCAGCUCUUGCUUCCCAGAAUCUCCAUAGCAGUUAUAUCUUUCAGCCAGGUUCCUGUGAUCGAAGAGCUCAGGAAACAAUCUGUGUAACAAAAACACAGAAAAUUCCCCAGGGGAUGAAGCUUCAUCUAAAAAUUCAUUGAGAUCCUGAGCAUCCAGAACAUAAUCUGAGGUGGUGGCAUUAUCCCUGUCCAGAGACAAAGCUUCUUCCUGCUCUUUAUCCUCAAUGAAAUGAGAGGACUCUACCUGCUCAGCCUCAUAAAAACUGGAUGACUGCACACUUUGCUGACUAUUUUCCAUUUCUCUUUGUGCCCAAAAUCUACUGAAAAAGUCAUUAACUUGGGGCAAACACUCCACCUGCCACACAGCAUUGUUCUUCACAGAAGGAUAACAAACUUCCACAUAGUUUCGGAUAAGCUGCAGGUGAAGCGAUUCAAGUUUCUUUUUGUUAAGGAAGCCACACGUGCUGCAGCUCCUGUUGAACUCAUCAUCGCUGAAGAGCUCUGGGAAAAGCUGCACUAGUAACCGGCAAGCCAAAUCUCCACCUGAGGUGCUCUGAUCCAUGAUCUGUUUGAGUUCCGCAGCGGUCAGCUGGUACUCUGGGGGAGGUCUGAACUCUGCUACAGACUCUGUUGGGCUGACAUGCUUUUUAAUUCUGCUGACCUCAAGAGACAACAGGUCAACCUUGCUGUGAAGCUGAGUCAUAUUGGAAUUCAGGGUGUUGAGGGUGUAAAACAUUUUCUGUAUCAAAGAAUAUAUGUUGGGAUCAGAAUCUGCAGUGGAAGCUGUAACAGUGAUGGUAGCAGCAGAAUCCCUUUUGCGUUGAUCGCUCAAACUCCGCAGAUGGGAGGGGCUGCUUGGAUUGACCUUUUCAAACAGCUCAUAAGAAAACUGCUCUGCCCCUGGUAUGCUCUUCUUCUCUGUAAUUUUGUGUGAGAUGCCAUACAGAGGUUUCUUAUAGGAUGGAGUAGUCACGUCAUUGAAGGGUUCUUCUUCACACAGCCACGUUAUAUUGGGAUUCUUGUUCUUGUUAGGCUGCUCUACGUUUACCUGAGUGGGUGACCCAAUAUCUCGGUUCUUCAUGUUUGAAAUGAGGCCCUACGAAUCAACAAACGUCGUAUUAGUAAGACAGUUUGCUUUAAAAUAAUAGCUACAAAUUUGUGUUCCACAGGUAGGCGUCACUAAAUAAAUAUGCACUGCCUAAUUUUCGUCAAUGAACCCAACUGUGCUAUAUAAAUCAAGUUAAUAAAUGUAUUGAAGGAAAACAAUCACCAAACAUGUUUACAGGGAAAGUAUUAUUUUAUUUCUUUGUUCAUGACCUCUGCUAUGGGAUAACUAUACAAUUAUAAUACUUUGCAUUUUUACCGAGAGAGCUUUAAAUGAUAUCAUUACCUCCCAUUUAGUGUCUGAGGAACUUGGGUGGCAGAGAGGUUGAGUGGCAGUAAAUCCGUAACAGAGCCAAGAACAGAAUUCAGGUUUUCUGACUCCUAAUCCUGUGAGCUAGCCACAAUCUCACUACUCCCCACAACUGUAUUUUAAUGUUUCAUUACUCUCCCUAUUACCAGCUAAUGAGGACACUGGUCCAACAGCCUUGACACAGGUGUGUUUAAUUUUUUCUCCCUUAGCUCUGAAAAACGUAUGCAAGUAAUUACGCCCAGCGGUCCAAUUCAGGGACAACUCUAUGAUACCAACCCAACUUAAAAAAUCCCAAUACAAUUAGUGAAAAGGUCUUUUAAAAAUGAAAGAAUGAUCUGUUUCUGAAAGGCAGAAACAUUUAUAUUCAUUGAGUUCCUCGGUUCUAAACCAGCUAGUUGUGAACUCUUUAAGAAUUCACGCUGUAAAUUAUUUUUAAGCACUGCAUUUCCUAACUGUUCCUCAUUGUUUGAGUUCUGAAGCAAAUGUUUUCAUUUAUUCACUGUAAAUAUUUAGCUCAUCAUUUAUUUAUUUUUGCAAGUACAUGGAUAUUGUGAAUAACUCAGAGAAAAUUAAGUAGGUAAGCAACAACAAAAAAUUACAAUACACAGAACUCAAACAUGUGAGAACACACACACAGUUUGAAUCUGACCAUAUUGAAUUUUUUCCCCAGCCUGCUAUGCAGAAUAUUAAUGAGACACAAAAUAAAGAACUUGUAUUCAAAUAUUAAAAAGCAAUGAAAUUCAUAUUAUGGGCUGAUAAGCAACUGAAAGUCCCAUCCUAGGAUCAGGCCCCUAUACUGUGGAUCUUCUCUGAAAAACACUGUAAAAAAAAAAAUGGCAGCACCUUCUUACUCAGCUAAUCUGCUUCCUAUGUGUAUUCACACUCAUAUCUGCUUACCCUCGUGACAAAAAUAACUUAACACUACUUUUUAGUCCUAUAAGCAAUGCAGAGCCCAAACAUGUAGGGGAGAUCAAGCUGGGUUCUAUUCUAGCUCAUGCAUCAUCACCAGAAUAAACUAAAUUCCAACUGCUGUACCAUAACUUGCCCAUUUACAUAAGUGUAACCCCACUGAAGACAAGUUUAUGAGCAUACUGAAGACCAUGAGGUUGCACAGGUGAUAAGUGAGGGCGUUAAUGGGUUCAAUUUAGAGUGCAGAAUCCUAUCAGCAGUAAUAAGGUUGAGAAGCUUGAUUUUCAGAUCCCAGUUGAUUCUGCAGGAAUAGCCAUUAGAAACUUUCCCCUCCAGUUUUACUUGUAAACAAAGCACAUUUGAGAUGGACUAAAUGAGACAUGAUAAACAUGGAGCAACACCAAAACGUCAUUUUUCAGAGAAGUGCCCUUGUUAUGUGGGAAGAUGUGGCGUAAAUAAAGCAUCUGUUAUAAGAUUCAGUAAUACCUAAGCACAACAGACAGAAUUAAGAACAGGGAUCUCUGGCUUUUCAGAUUAAAAAAAAAAAAAAAGCAUUAUAGAGAGAUUUGAACAUACAGUGAAACUUGCUCUUAUCUGGUAACCUCAUGUCUUCAGAUACUGCCCCAAAUUAUCCUCAUAUACAAAGAGCACAAUUUGGCUCCAUCUUUGUUAGAAGGCUCAUUAUGAUAAGCAAAUCAUUUGUUAGUCCUUUUCAGGUUUCACCAUAGUUUUUUUUGUGUGUGUGUAGGUCCAAUGAAGCAAUAAAACAUGACAAUUUGAGGGUAGUCCUGAUUAAUGCUCAGCUCAAGUGAAGAGGCAGGAACAAGGCAGUACGAGGGAAGUGUAUUAAUCAGCACGGAGCCAUCAUCUAAAGGGCCUUAUUGCCCUUUUAAAAUGAACACAUAAAAGUUAACAUUCUUGCGGUUGGAUGGGGCCCUCUGGAAGAAAAGAAGUGCUUACGCUGAGAAUUAUGGCAGAUCUCUGUAUGUUGUAAGGGCAGCAGAACUUCUGCCCUUUCACUAAUGCAGCUCACGAUGUUUGGAUCUGGUUGUGGGAGGAAUUUGCAGAUCUGCAUUUCAGAAACACACGGUCAAUGUUCAGCUAACAGCUAGUGCCACAUCUGGGACUAGAUUUAAGCAUUUUCUGUUAAUCUGGGAUACCUUGUUCUGCCUUCAGAACAUUCUCCUUGCCUCCUGUAAUAAUCUGUACAGAUUAUAUUGCCAGCUGGGUAUAGCAUUAUCUGAAGCACACAUGGACUAUUUUUGGUGAAACGUCAGAAUAAUCUAUUGUGGAACAUUCUUUUGUAUUAUCCAUAAGGACCCGGGACUUUAAGCACAGAUGUGUGUAUGUACUUCAGAUAAUGCUAUAAGCAGGGGUCCCCAAUGCGGUGCCCGCCGGGGCAUUUUUGUGCGCCCGCAGUACUCCCCGCCACUGAAAUGCCGCCGAGAAGCGUUGCCGUUUCUUGGCGGCAUUUCAGCGGCAACGCUUCUUCCCGCUGCCGCUUUUCGGCAGUGGGGUGUCCGGCGCCCGCCACAGUCUUCUUGGAAUAGCAGUAUGCUAUUCCCACAAGAAAGGUUGGGGACCACUGCUAUACACAGUUAAAAAGAUUAUCAGUUUACUGUACUACCAAAAAAAUUACAAGGCAGAUUGUUCUAUUUGCGCUACAAGCACAUAAUACCAUGCUGCCUACACUGCCAUAGGAAGCUACUGUAUUACAUACUGUUGCUGACCUUUUAUGAAAUGCAGUAUUUUGCUUUUGUGGAAUAAUCUUUCAUAUUAUAUUUUAGGACCACAGGCCCAGAUUUUGAAAAGUAUUUAGGCUUUGCUCCAUUCAGCAUUGCAAGUUUUAAGGCUCAUUUUCAAAAGUGGCUCAGGCCACUGACUUACUCAAAGUUUUUAACAACUUGACUUUUGGUCACCGCCAGAAUUGGAAAGUAGAGAGAGGCACACAACUAAAAACAUUAGUAUUAAAAAAAGUUAGCCUCUCAAAGGUUCUGUUAGAACUUCAGACUAAGAUUGUGGUUGGUUAUUUAUUCUAAACAUGCUGAUUCAUCAUUAGAGUCAGUUGAGAAUAAAUUUUCACGACAAUUAUUGGGUUAGGUUCUGGCCCCAUAGUAAAUCCAAGGCAACUAUCAACUUCAAAUAACUUAUAGAGUUGGAGUGGUGAAAUUUCACUGAGAUCAGAAUCUGUCCCACUGUACAUAAUCUGGAAAAAUUACAACCCUGGUCUGGCAACUGGGUUAACCCAUAGGGAUCUGAUUGCAGAACUGUGGCCUAAAUUUCUAAUGAAAACACUAACAAAAUCUUUACUCUAGGGACAUGAGAGGGGGUCUAUGAUCACUGUCAGACCCAGUUAAUCCAAACCAGUUUGAGAAUUCCAUGUUUAUAAGAUUAUUAGAAACAAAUAAUUGCUUCAGAUAAAAACAAUUAAUGGUGGAAUUUAUGCUGUAAAAUGGGAUACUGCUUACAUCAUUAAAAAAUAUCCAGAUAAGUAGUAUAGGUAAACUGGGCAAAGAUUAUAAUCAUGUCUGACUAUAAACAAAUUAAUUGCUGGUGUGAGUUGAUUUAAAAGAGUUGUGCUCUGCUUAUACCAGCAGUAAAUUUGGCCCAAAAAAUCUGAACAGUACAUCAUGCAUAGCUACAUGUAGAAAAAUCACCUCUUGAAUAAAGCGUCUUUUCUUCACACUGGGCAAAACCUCUUGCUGGCUCCCUGAACCAUCACAACCAAGUGAGAUCUGUUUCCGUUUGUUGGAAUCGUGUAGGCAAGUAACUAAGCCAUCCAGUGAGUGUUUCUCAGGAGAUCUGGAUGUCACGGAGCAGUCUAGUGCUUCAUCUUCAUUUUCUGUUUCUACUUUCACAAGAUUAUUUUUUAUAAUUUUAACUAGAAAGAGAGAAGGUUUAGAACAAUCAAGCACUUCCUCCAGAAAUUCAUGAUACCCUUACAACAAUAUGCUUUGUUUGUUUUUCUGAAACUGCCUUUUGAAUAGUGUCAUUAUUAUUUAUCAUUAUAUAAUAGCAACACCUUGAAGCCUCAAGCCCCCAAGUCGGGGCACCAUUGUGGUAGGAACUGUACAAACAUAUAGUAAAUGAUAGUUCGUGCCCCAAAGAGCUUACAGACUUAAAGACAAUACAUAUCAGGUGAGUAGGCAGGUAGUAAAGUAGGCAGGAGUUUGGGGGAGGGAGAAGGAUGAUGGGCAACAAAAAUAAUAAUAGGAUGUUUUAGCAGCUAACUUUUCAGUCAUUGUUAUAAUCUUUGUAUAUUUAGAUGAAGAAUGCAUUGUGAUAAAGCAAAGUCUUCAUACAACUAGUAUUUUUUAAUCUGACCAGAAAAUAAACAAGAUAUAGCAUUUUACCUUCGUCAUCAUCAUUGAAUUCAGCUGAGUUCAUCUUCUAGCCCUCUAAAGAAAAAAGAUAAAAAGACAUCACCAGUAGUUUUCUAGACACAGGGCAUGGGUUGCGUUUUCAGCCUUUCGUUAAAAAAAAGUCAAAAACCUGCUAUCUACAACUAUUUGCUAUCCUUGGACAAUAUUAACAGUCCUUGGGCAAUUUCCUAUUUGCUCCAUUUUUAUUCACAUUAUAGCAGGCAGCCACUUUUCUUGUGUGUUUCCUGGACACCUGCAGAUCUGCCCCACAGUGUACACUGAACAGAAAACAACCUGAGACGGCCAGAAAAGUAAGAUGAUUUAACACUGAAGAUUUUUUCUAAUUUGAAGAACCUUAGUUCAGUUCUUUUAACUUUCUGUAUAAGUAGAAGUGUCUUGGAAGUGCACAAAUGAAAGUUCUCUGAAUGGGUUUUUUUGGUCACACUGUAUUAAGUGGGCACCAGUUAUAAGAGCCAAAAAACUUUGGAGGCCUAAAGGUGUCCAACAAGUUUCAUUGCAGGUCAAUUUCCAGUGUUCAGCACAGCUGAAAAAUGCAACACAAACUAUUUUAUAACUAAGGGUUAGACUCAAUGACCCUUGCUGUCCCUUCCCUAUGAUUCUAUAAUAUGCCAAGGUUGUCUGAAUAUAUUUCUAUUAAAAAACGGCUAUUUUGAUGUGGAUUGUGAUAUUGAAAAACCAGCAACCUAUAGAUUUACAGUAACAAGUAUUUUUAUAAUUGUUAACUGGUGGCCUCCAAACAACAUCAGAAUGCUUUUUAAAAGGAAAAACAAAACAUUUCAACUGUCUUAAAAUGAUUUAAUAUUACUUCUCAUGCCAAAAUUAUCACAUUAUCACUAAGCUACAUUUUUCAAUUUUCCUAAACCUAAGAUCACAGGUCAUUUGUUAUAAACUCCAAAUUCUGGACAUGUCUCAAAAAAGAAGGCUUCAGACUCCAGUGAGGAUAGACAAAGCAAGCACCCUCACCCAGCUCUCACUAGCCAUUUAGAAGUACACAUUCACCAACAGUGGCAACCACAAUUGGAUACCUUUUAAAUGAGCCAUACAUAGUUCAUAUUAUCCAGAUACAUGUCUAGCCUCAUAGGCUCGCUUGGCCCCAAAAAAACUUAUUUGAAAUACAUAAAAACUUUCAUAACUACAUGGAUUUUCCAAAUAGACUUCUUUCACCAAAUCAUACCCUUCCCCUGGUCAAGCUCUGAAUGGGUCAAUAUUGCCCAAGUCAUCCAUAACCAGAGAUUUUCUAGUUAAACACACACUCACACACAUGCACACACACACACACAUUUAUGUCCCAUGAAUAUUCCUUAUAAAACAAAAGACAUUUUGAAAGACUAUAUACAAAGAAUUGCAAUUGUAGUCUUAUUAUCUAAUAGUUGUAUACAAAAUGAUUUUAAAAGAAUCACAAGUACUAUUAAAAUGCUUUGCAUUGCAUGUUUGCAUACAAACAUUUGAAUACUGUGUAACUGCAUGCUUUCUCUUUGUUAGCAGCUGGUAGCUAUUAAUAGUAAAUAUAAUUAAUACAUUCAAUGUGAGAUUUUGUACAUAUGACUAACAGACACAACACAGAACUCACAGCCCAUGGUGAGGGAGGGUGGGCUAAAGUGCCUUUAAGUCCCCUUUGUGCUCUCUUUAUUCUGAACUAUUCCAGGACCCCUCCUGUCCUCAGCACACUCCCUAUACAAGGCCUUAAUAGGGGGUCCUUGGAGGGGAGCACUCUGCUUUGGCCCUUUUACUCAGCAUAUUUCUCCCCCCGCCCCCUGGUGUUUAAAUUCAAUGAACCUGGUUUUGACUCUUAACUUGCCUACAUACAAGUUAUGCCAGUUUAACUAAAAUGAGGUUUUUUUACAUCACUUUAGUUAAA